rnacentral:rRNA from 1 species
CGGAGGGAUCAUUAAAGAGUUCUAUAACUCCCAAACCCAUGUGAACAUACCUAACGUUGCCUCGGCAGGUCGCACCUACCUUGUAGCACCUUACCCUGUAAGGCCUACCCGGGAGGUGCGGGUAAGCCUGCCGGCGGCCCACCAAACUCUGUUUGAUAUUGAAUUCUGAACCUAUAACUAAAUAAGUUAAAACUUUCAACAACGGAUCUCUUGGUUCUGGCAUCGAUGAAGAACGCAGCGAAAUGCGAUAAGUAAUGUGAAUUGCAGAAUUCAGUGAAUCAUCGAAUCUUUGAACGCAUAUUGCGCCCAUUAGUAUUCUAGUGGGCAGGACCGUUCGAGCGUCAUUUCAACCCUUAAGCCUUCGUUGCUUAGUGUUGGGAGCCUACGGCAACGUAGCUCCUCAAAGUUAGUGGCGGAGUUGGUUCACACUCUAGACGUAGUAAUUUUUUAUCUCGCCUAUUAGUUGGACUAAUCCCCUGCCGUAAAACCCCCAAUUUAUCAAGGUUGACCUCGAAUCGGUUCAGACAAACUCGCUAAAUUGAAGCAUCUUAGUCAGCGAAGGAAAAGAAACCAACAGGGAUUGCCCUAGUAACGGCGAGUGAAGCGGCAACAGCUCAAAUUUGAAAUCUGGCCCUCGGGUCC